rnacentral:rRNA from 1 species
UACGGAGGUGGCAAGCGUUGCUCGGAAUCACUGGGCGUAAAGGGCGCGUAGGCGGGGAGGGAAGUCGGGGGUGAAAUCCCUCGGCCCAACCGAGGAACUGCGCCCGAGACUGCUUCUCUUGAGUCCCGGAGAGGAAGGUGGAAUUCCCGGUGUAGCGGUGAAAUGUGUAGAGAUCGGGAGGAACACCGGUGGCGAAGGCGGCCUUCUGGACGGUGACUGACGCUGAGGCGCGAAAGCGUGGGGAGCAAACGGG